UCGAAUUUAAGCUAGGUUGAGUUAGCUACGAUUCACCCAGGCACGAUCCGUAGCUAUUGAGAGGAACGACAGGCACAUUGGAACUGAGAACACACCAGACUCUACGGAGCAGCAGUGGGGGAUUUUGACAUGGGGAACCCUGAUCCAGCAUCCCGCGUGUGCGAUGAAGGCCUUCGGGUUGUAAAGCACUUUGGCAGGAAAGAAACGUCGCGGGUUAAUACCUCGCGAAACUGACGGUACCUGCAGAAUAAGCACCGGCUAACUACGUGCCAGCAGCCGCGGUAAUACGUAGGGUGCAAGCGUUAAUCGGAAUUACUGGGCGUAAAGCGUGCGCAGGCGGUUCGGAAAGAAAGAUGUGAAAUCCCAGAGCUUAACUUUGGAACUGCAUUUUUAACUACCGGGCUAGAGUGUGUCAGAGGGAGGUGGAAUUCCGCGUGUAGCAGUGAAAUGCGUAGAUAUGCGGAGGAACACCGAUGGCGAAGGCAGCCUCCUGGGAUAACACUGACGCUCAUGCACGAAAGCGUGGGGAGCAAACAGGAUUAGAUACCCUGGUAGUCCACGCCCUAAACGAUGUCAACUAGCUGUUGGGGCCUUCGGGCCUUGGUAGCGCAGCUAACGCGUGAAGUUGACCGCCUGGGGAGUACGGUCGCAAGAUUAAAACUCAAAGGAAUUGACGGGGACCCGCACAAGCGGUGGAUGAUGUGGAUUAAUUCGAUGCAACGCGAAAAACCUUACCUACCCUUGACAUGUCUGGAAUGCCGAAGAGAUUUGGCAGUGCUCGCAAGAGAACCGGAACACAGGUGCUGCAUGGCUGUCGUCAGCUCGUGUCGUGAGAUGUUGGGUUAAGUCCCGCAACGAGCGCAACCCUUGUCAUUAGUUGCUACGAAAGGGCACUCUAAUGAGACUGCCGGUGACAAACCGGAGGAAGGUGGGGAUGACGUCAAGUCCUCAUGGCCCUUAUGGGUAGGGCUUCACACGUCAUACAAUGGUCGGGACAGAGGGUCGCCAACCCGCGAGGGGGAGCCAAUCCCAGAAACCCGAUCGUAGUCCGGAUCGCAGUCUGCAACUCGACUGCGUGAAGUCGGAAUCGCUAGUAAUCGCGGAUCAGCAUGUCGCGGUGAAUACGUUCCCGGGUCUUGUACACCCCGCCCGUCACCACUGGGCGGUAUUGUUAGAGAAGUACCAGCCUCACCAAGUAGUAACACCGUAACCGUAGACU
rnacentral:rRNA from 1 species